AAUGAACGUUGGCGGCGUGGAUUAGGCAUGCAAGUCGUGCGGAAAGGCUCCUUCGGGAGUACUCGAGCGGCGAAAGGGAGAGUAACGCGUGGAUAUCUACCCCCUGGCCUGGGAUAGCGGCGGGAAACUGCCGGUAAUACCGGAUAACGUCUUUGGACCAAAGGUGUGAUUCCGCCGGGGGAUGAGUCCGCGUCCUAUUAGCUAGUUGGUGAGGUAACGGCUCACCAAGGCCAAGAUGGGUAUCGGGUGUGAGAGCAUGGCCCGACUCACUGGGACUGAGACACUGCCCAGACACCUACGGGAGGCUG
rnacentral:rRNA from 1 species